AUUUUCAAGAUGUCAUACAGGUGUUGAAUGUAUGUUUGCUAUCCAUUAGGGACUCUAACAAAGCUUAUGAAUUUUAUUUUAAAAUUUUUUUUUUUUCUUCUUCAUGUUUUGGAUUUUUCAAGCUGGUUUCUUAAAUGCAAUCUCAUGGGGGAAUGUUGAUGGCCCUAUUCCUUGGAAACUCAGGAAAGUCCAAAUUUUGAAUGGGCUUAGAGUAAGCAAUUCAAAAUAUGGGCCAAAUGCGAUAUUUUGAGGGAGGUUUCUUUUGUUCAUGCUCAUGUUAUGUAACAUGAUCAUCUUUGUGUAUUGGGAGUUCCAUUCCACUUUAGUGAUUUUUGAUUUCUAAUUGUAUAUGUUAUAAUAUAUUUCUUUCUAUUUAAUAGCAAUUUUAGUUACAAGAAGAACUAAUUAAUCCUUGUCAAGGGGCAUCAUAACACAAUAAUGUAGAGAAUUGUGCACCUAUUUGUGUUUUUAUUUUGCUACAAGGAUGAUACACAUUUUCAUGAGGUGAAGACAUGUCUUGUUGAUUAGCCAUCGACACUUUUUAAAGGAUCUUGAGCAUUCUUUCUUAUAAUUCAGUGUUAGGAAGUUCAUUCACCUACAUUUAGCUGAAAGCCUAAAAUAUAUACCUGUUGUGCAAAGUAAUAAUUUAAUUUCUCAGACAAUAACAUCUUUAUUCCAUAGACAAUUUCCUUUUAAACAGUGACAACCGUUAUUUGAUGGUUAGGAUCAUCUAAUUAAUGGGAUUUUGGGUACAUAUUCCAUCAAUAGUGGUGCCUGCGAUCUGGAUUUAGGCACGGGUACCACACAUGUAGGGUGGAUGUCAUUGCAAUAUAGGAAAAUGGUGGAAAAUGCACAUAGCAGUCUAGCCCAUCAGCUACCCUUAGCCACAAGACACAAUGGCAUCCGUGUCUUUUGGUCUAUCAAUGGAAGGUCAUUCUAGUGGUGUACGAAUGUAUAUCUAGUAUUACAUGCUUGGAUGUUUGCCUCCACUAUCAAAAUUAUUUUCUUUAUCAACACUCUAACUAUCCUGGCCCAUGUUGCUUUCAUUUAUUUUUGGCUAUGUGGACACUUGGAGGACUUUUGUGUGACAUGUGCAGGUUCGUUUUUAUUCUGUGCAGUGUGAUGUCCUGUUUUCAUUUUGUUUGCAUUGAUCUGGAUCCUUUGGGUGUUUAUAUAGAAAGUAAUGAGAGAUUCGUUUUUGAUGAGUUUUGUUGAUAAUGAAGUUGUUGUUUUUCCAAUGGAUGCAUCUUUUUCAUUAAACAGGUAAAGAAAACUGUUUACACUAUGUUGCAUGUUGGUGAUGUGGUUCGAUUGGGCCAGUAGGUAAACAUUUUUCAUUCUUGUUUGCCUUUGAUGUAGGAAUAUUUGGUUUUAGCCUUUUGCCUCUCUUCCUUCUUAUUAAUUUUUGUAACAUAGUAAUCAAAAGAUAAAAGAGAUCUUUGGUCUUUUAAUUUAUAUCAUUCAUUUGAUUCCAUGCAUUUUGUAGAAAUUCAACUGUUUGUAUAGUGAAAUCAAAUUUUGUUCCUUGAUCAUCAUCAUCCAAGCCUUAUCCCAGACAGGUAUUGGUGGGUAUAAAGUUCCAUGUUUCUCUUUGCGAUUGAUGAAUUUUGGUUGAGGUUCUGCGAAUGUGUUUUUCUUUUGUGCUGGUUUAAUUAAUGACAACUAGAGGAGGUAUGGAUCAUUAGGCUUCAUGGUGGACAUGUCUGUAAUUUAUCAGUGAUGAACUGAUUGAAGGUAAGUCACAUUCUUUGCAGAUAUGCUGGAUUGAAAAGACACCUUCUAAUCUAUACACAUUUUUCAAAGGAUAGAGAUAAAUCUCCUGAUCCUAUCAUGGACAAUCCAUUAUCUCAAAAUCCAGCUCAUUCAUUACCUGUGAAAAUAACAUGUGGGGCCGCUUCUUCUACAAUACUGAGCUAGAGAAGAUGGUUGAUAAGGAUUUGUCUCAUUUGUAUCCAGAGCAUUAGAGCUACUUUUAGAUGUCGGCAUGUGAAGCCAUGCUAAGAAGGAUAUUGUUGUUGUGGUGCCUAAUGGUAAUCUUGUUUUUGUCCUCAGUUUACGUUGGAGCAAUACAAACAACGUGCCUUAAUGGGAUCUCCACAAGGAGUUACAGACGUAUAAAGUAGCUAUUCUUCUUCAGAUAGGAAAAUUCACACCAUUUGGUGCAUUUUGCACAGGAGUUGCUGGUGGUGCAGCAUCAGGGAAGACUACUCUCUGCGACAUGAUCAUUGAGAAACUUCAUGACCAGCGUGUUGUCCUUGUCAAGCAAAUUGCUGAUGCUCUUUACUACAAUGUAACAAUGACACUUGGCAUAUUGUAAAAGCUUGAGGUGGCAGCAGAAGUUUUUAAUCUCUGGUUUUAGAUGCUACAACAAGUUAAAAAAAGUGGUUUGCAUGCUAAUUUUAGAAGGUGACUUCUGCUUCUCAGAUUGUUUUCCUCAUGUUGUAAAACUUUUCCUGUGGCUUCAAUAGUCCUAUGGUGAUUGCAGGGAACAUGAUAAGAAAGUUUGCUUGUUGGGAUUGACUUCACUUCUUGCACUUUAUGCGGACCAGUUACCCAGAGAAGCACUGGAACGUGUGUUUAGAGCAACACUUGACCUGCUUGUUGCUUACGAGGAUCAAGUUGCAGGUACUGCUCAUUUCAUUGGAUGCUUUUUCUUUUCUUUUUCCUCUUUCCUUUUCUUUCUACUAAUAAACUCAAAUUCGUAACUGAAAAUCAAUGUGCAUCAUGCUUUCCCUAUGAUCACUCUUUUUAGUUUUACCUUUUUGUUCCGCUUAUUUUGGGUCUUCCAAGAGGCUCAACAGUUCAUCCCAGCUCAGCUACACAUGCUUUGACUGAGAUUUGACAAGUAGGGAUAGCCCGAUAGUUUUUCCACAUAUUAUGCACAUGUUUCACUUAGAGAAGGUUUGCCAUGUUAGUAUUUUUAGAGUCUUUUACAGGAACUAUGCAAGUUUAUAACUGCUCCUAGAUUAAUCCUAAUAAAGGGUAGUUAGCUUCUAUACUCUUUAUACUAAGAUUAUAGAUAAAUGGAUUUUGGCUCAAUGGAUUGAGGUGAUUUGUUAGACAAGAUCUACAUUAGCUGACCAAAGUCGAUCUACAGCGGGUGAUUUGGAUGUAGUAUGAUCAUGAGCUAUGCAGGUUCAUUAAAAUUGUGGCUUUGAGUGUGGUGGAUCAUUUUCAAUUACAGCGUAUGUGCAGGGUCAAAGAUUUAGCCAAUACCUUCAAACCAUGGCUUUUGGAUAAAGAGAUUGAGGGUGCUUUGCCAUACAUUAUCUACACUAGGCUCUAAACAUGAUUCAUCUAUCAUUUAGAGCAUACUUUUUCAUCUUAGACUGGAUACAAAUUUUACAU